AUGGAACCUCUUCACCUGUCGAAUCGCUUCAUAUCAGUCAACCCAGAGGGAUUGAAAACUCGUAAAUAUGCAACAGCUUGCCCUCUGCACCUCACCCCUUUACAUCACAAUUUGAAGAGCAUUUACAAAGAUUGAAGGAUUCUGAAGCCACAUCUUCUUUGACAUCAUCUUCAAUAAACUACAAGCUAAAUGGCUUGCGGGAUUUGCAUGAGUGUGCUGAUAAGCUUCUCCAAUUGCCAAUCACUCAGCAAGCCUUGGCAGGAGAAUGUAGCAACAAAUGUGUUGAUGAACUAUUAGAUGGAUCUGUGAGGAUCUUGGAUAUUUGUGAUACAAUUAAAGAUUGUCUAGUGCAACAAAAGGAAAACAUGCAUGAACUUGAGUCAGCUAUUCGCCGGCGAAGAGAUGCUAAAGAUGGAUUAUUAAUUGAAAGUGGAAAAUACUUGGCAUCUAGGAAGCAGAUGAAAAAAGUGAUUCGGAAGGCCUUAGGAAAUUUGAAAGGAUUCAAGAAUGAGCUCAUGGUUGCUUCCUCAAACAAAAACAAUAAAACAUUGUCCAUGCUUGGAAUCUUAAAAGAAUCAGAAGUAGUCACCAUGAGCUCAUUAGAAUCCCUGUUGUUGUUUAUAACUGGCUCAAAGGGACAAUCAAAACAGAACAGACGGUCAAUAAUCUCCAAGUUGAUGCAACCAAAUACAUUGGGAUGUGACUUUCCAGAGGCUGACACAAAUGUAAUUGAAAAGGUGGAUGCUGCUUUGAUGUCUCUCAUCAAUCACAAGCCUUCGCCUAUUGAUAAUUUUCAAAGCCAUUUGGAAAAUUUGGAGAUAUGCAUUCAGAAUUUAGAAGUAGGAGUUGAAUACCUCUCAAGGCAACUAAUUAGAACCAGAGUUUCCCUUCUCAACAUCUUCAAUCACUAGUCAAAAAAGUUUUCCCCCAUGACAAACUCGUGUACAUAUAUGUGAUGAAAGAAAAAAGUUAACAUGUAUUAAGAUAUUUUA